AGUGAACGCUGGCGGUAGGCCUAACACAUGCAAGUCGAACGGCAGCACAGUAAGAGCUUGCUCUUACGGGUGGCGAGUGGCGGACGGGUGAGGAAUACAUCGGAAUCUACUUUUUCGUGGGGGAUAACGUAGGGAAACUUACGCUAAUACCGCAUACGACCUACGGGUGAAAGCAGGGGAUCUUCGGACCUUGCGCGAUUGAAUGAGCCGAUGUCGGAUUAGCUAGUUGGCGGGGUAAAGGCCCUCCAAGGCGACGAUCCGUAGCUGGUCUGAGAGGAUGAUCAGCCACACUGGAACUGAGACACGGUCCAGACUCCUACGGGAGGCAGCAGUGGGGAAUAUUGGACAAUGGGCGAAAGCCUGAUCCAGCCAUACCGCGUGGGUGAAGAAGGCCUUCGGGUUGUAAAGCCCUUUUGUUGGGAAAGAAAAGCAGCAGGUUAAUACCCCGCUGUUCUGACGGUACCCAAAGAAUAAGCACCGGCUAACUUCGUG
rnacentral:rRNA from 1 species